CCAUAGCGAACGCUUCGUUUCGAAGACGGUCGAGAGUGAGUUAAGCUCGUUAUUCACGAGAAACUUUCCUCUCGGUGAUCGCUAGUUGAAACGAGUCUAGAUUUAUUUUGAGCGAAUGAUGGCAGGAGCCGAAUCGCCAAACGUAAAACAAGAAUCGCAGAACGCUUCUGCGGAAAACAGUAAUGAAAAUCCACGAGAACGUAAUCCACCGGGCGGCGGUGGCGGCGGCGGUAAUCGCGGCCCGCGUGGACGAAAAGGAGGAACACGUUUUUCUGGCGGACGUGGCGGCGGAAUGGGCGGAGGAAACAGGAAUAAUGAUGGACCGAUGAAGAUGAGCGAUUCUAUGGAUGGAGGCAUGGAUAAUCCUAUGAAUGAAGGAAUGGGUGGUGGUGGUAUGGGAGGAGGAAUGGGUAUGGGACGUGGCGGCGGAAUGCGUGGUGGUAGAGGAGGCCGAGGAGGUGGUGACAGGAACAUGGGAAAUCGUUCACAAGAUGAUCGUUUAAUGGAACGCAUUAUGGCUAUUAGUGGGCCUACUCAUGAUCUAGCUCCCCAAGAAACCACAGAAAAGAAAUUCAGCGGUCGUAAUCGUUUGUACAUUGGAAACCUGACAAAUGAUGUUACAGAAGAAGAAAUCCAACAGAUGUUCCAACAGUAUGGUGAAAUAUCUGAGCUUUUUGUUAAUAAGGAAAAAAACUUCGCAUUUCUCAGGAUGGAUUACAGAGUAAAUGCUGAAAAAGCGAAACAUGAAUUAGAUGGUACAAUGCGCAAAGGACGUGCACUUAAAGUACGUUUUGCUCCCCAUUCCUCCACGAUUAAAAUUAAAAAUCUUACACCUUGGAUUUCAAAUGAACUGCUUGAAAGAGCAUUUAGUGUUUUUGGUGAAAUCGAACGCGCUAUAGUUAUAGUAGACGAUAGAGGAAAAUCUACCGGAGAAGGAAUUGUAGAAUUCUGCAGGAAACCAUCAGCCCAACUUGCUCUACGAAAAUGCACGGAAGGGUGCUACUUUUUAACUGCUUCUUUACGUCCAGUGGUUGUUGAACCAUUUGAACAACAAGAUGACGUCGACGGAUAUCCAGAUAAAAAUUUGCCUCGAAAAAAUCCAGAAUUUUUUAAAGCUCGUGAUAUUGGACCAAGAUUUGCACAAAUUGGAAGCUUUGAACAUGAGUAUGGAACACGGUGGAAGCAACUUCAUGAAUUGUAUAAACAAAAGGAAGAAGCAUUGAAAAGAGAAAUGGCAAUGGAGGAAGAAAAAUUGGAAGCUCAAAUGGAAUUUGCACGUUAUGAACAUGAAACUGAAUUGUUAAGAGAACAAUUACGCAUGCGUGAAGCUGAUCGUGAGAGACAGAAGAGAGAAUGGGAAAUGAAAGAAAGGCAAGCUGAAGAACAAAGAACACGUGAAGAAGAAUUACGGAGAAGACAGCAAGAAGAAAUGGCAAUGCGUAUAAGAAGACAAGAAGAGGAACUACACAGGCGCCAACAAGAAAAUAAUUUGUUCAUGCAGGGUUAUGUUCCCUUUAAAUUUAAGGAGCAAGCAAUGAGGGGCGGUGGCGGAGGCGGAGGUGGAAUGGGAGGAAAAAAUUACGAUUCCGUUAGUAAUAGUGACCGCGAUGGAUAUGGUCAACCGGAUGGUGGAAGCAGCAUGCCAGUGAUGCUCAUAGUAGCUGCUGGUUGAGGAAGUGAAAUGAACAAUAUUGAGAACCAAAGAGAUUUUAAAUCGCAGCUGCUUCAUCAUCCCGUAUGUAUUUUACAUGCAAAAGGAAGAAAUUCAAGGAAGGUUAUUCAGUGCUUAAAAGAACUUCAACAUAAUUUAAGGAAGAAAUCCCAUUUGUCUUGUGGAAAUUAAGAACUGAAACGGAUUGACAUACACAGAUUAUCUGAUUUAAAAACCACAAGAUCAAAAAUACACAUCACAAGUACACGAAGCCUUCAUUUCGAAUUAUUCAGGUUUAAGAAUAGGGCGAAACUACUGUGGUGGUUAUGUUAUGACAGAAGGAAAGAGAUAGAGCGGGUAGACGGAAAAGAAAAGGACGAAACUACUGUGGUGGUUAUGUUAUGACAGAAGGAAAGAGAGCAGGUAGACGAAAAAGAAAAGAAUAGGACGAAACUACUGUGGUGGUUAUGUUAUGACAGAAGGAAAGAGAGCAGGUAGACGAAAAAGAAAAGAAUAGGACGAAACUACUGUGGUGGUUAUGUUAUGACAGAAGGAAAGAGAUAGAGCGGGUAGACGGAAAAGAAAAGAGUAGGGCGAAACUGCUGUGGUGGUUAUUUUAUGACAGAAGGAAAGAGAGCAGGUAGACGAAAAAGAAAAGAAUAGGACGAAACUACUGUGGUGGUUAUGUUAUGACAGAAGGAAAGAGAGCAGGUAGACGAAAAAGAAAAGAAUAGGACGAAACUACUGUGGUGGUUAUGUUAUGACAGAAGGAAAGAGAGCAGGUAGACGAAAAAGAAAAGAGUAGGGCGAAACUGCUGUGGUGGUUAUUUUAUGACAGAAGGAAAGAGAGCAGGUAGACGAAAAAGAAAAG
rnacentral:misc_RNA from 1 species